AUAAGAAACACUGAAAAAGCGCAAGUAGAAGAACAGAGCAGCUCCUCCAUCAAUGGGGACCCAAGCAAAACUAGUUCUAGAAUCUCCUUUCUUCAACGUCUCUCCUAAUAUUGUUAGCACUUUCGAUAACAAUUCCAAGUUCAGUCAUCGCUCAUCCUUAAGGUUUCAGGCAAUGACCACUCGACGACGAGUUUCAUUAUCAACAACAGCAGCAGCAGCAACAACA
rnacentral:misc_RNA from 1 species